AAAGACUGAACUUAAACUGAUGAGGUGGAUGGUCUGGUCCUAACCAGUUAAUUUGGUGACUAAAUGAUUGGACCAGAUUGAAAAACAUGAAAUAUAAAAAUUUAGAGCCUAAAACUUUGUGAAUCCUUUUUGGACCUCCUAUGGGGGUUUUUGACAUUGAGCACCCAGGCUGUGGGAUGCUGAAUGUUCUUGUAAAUGCUUUUACUCUAUUAGUACAAUAGUCAACAGAUUAAAAAGAAAAAGAAGAAAAAAAGGAAGAGAAAAAAAGACCCUAAAACCUGAAAAGUAGAAAGAACUCUGAAAAGUUCAGAAUAGGAUAUGUUCUUAUUUGUUAUCACCAUUGCAAAGUUUUAAGGUUGAUACAAUAAAACUCACUAAGCAUGCUUCGUUUUAUUUAAGCACAUGUAUCUUUCUUUAUUUAUGAAAAGAUUUGUAUAUAUGAGUCGCUUUAUCUACUUUAAAUAAUACUUGUGCCAUGCAUAUGAUUAGUGCAUAUGUUAUAUUCUGAUUCUACAAAAUCAAGGGUGUUGCUUAGAGCCAUGUCUGAUGACACACUUACAAUGUUCCAUAGCACAAAAUACAAAAGACAAACAAUUGUUCAUUAGUUGCAAUAUUCGUCAUGAAGGCCAAUGGGGCAUGACGCAUCUUCCCUCCAAGCCGAGAUCAUGAGCUACACAGAGAACUAAUAGCCUCUUCGUAUACCAAACGCUUGGGUCAUUGUUGUUGUCAUCUGUACUAUGAUGCAAUGACUUGUUUUUCUUUUUAAUUUUUUAUUUAUCUUUUUCUUUUUAGAUUUUUUUAGGCUUAGGGUUGUUUUUGUCUUUUAUGGUUGUGGAGAUUGCAAGGUUAGAAUUGGAAAGCUUAUUUUAUUUUAAUAUAGGAAGAUAAUUUGUCUUUACACGAGAUAUAUGGGAGAGUUAAAAGGAAUCUUCUAUAUUUGUGGGAUUUAGUUGGUAUAGAGAGGUUUUUCAAGGGGGAUCACGUUGGACUAAGAAAGAGAGAGAAUCAUAGAAGACCUGAUAUGCCUACAAGAUCUAUUUAGUAGAUUGCAACAACAGGAGGAAGAACAUGAAGAGGUAAAUCUCAGUGCAAAAGAUGUAGAAAUUAUGAAGAAGAAGAUACGCUAGUUGCGAUAUGUGAGAUACUGCUCAUUUGAGAUUGAAGGACGAAUGAAGAUCAAGUUGGGUACUUCAGAGGCCCAUUACAAGCUGAAUAUCAAGUGUUUGAUGAAUUGUUUCAUUGAAGAAAAAGCAUCCAUACUAAUGGUAGGCCUGCCACCUGCAUCACCAACUAUUGGAAGACUCUCAGAGGAGCUUAAAUCUUCAACCUUGAGGUCGGGCUUCUCCCAACCCCUGAGAAAUGAUGCAAUGACUUAUUUAAUUUUUUUUCUUAGAUUUUUUUUAGGCUUAGGGUUAUUUUUGUCUUUUAUGGUUGUAGAGAUCUCAAGGGUAGAAUUGGAGAGUUUAUUUUAUUAAAAUAGAAGGAUACAUCUUGGUGGUUACAAGAGAGACAUGGGGGAGGUAAGAGGAGUUUUCUAUAUUUAUGGGAUUUGGUUGGUGUAGAGAGAUUUUUUAAAGGGGCUCACAUUGGAUUAAGAAAGUGCAAUAUUUACAUGAGAUUAAAGAGAAAAAAAUGUGGAAGAUAGAAAGGAGAGAGAGAGAGAGAGAGAGAGAGAGAGAGAGAGAGAGAGAGAGGUGGUAGUGUUAGUUUUAGUUUGUUUUACUUUUAUUUACUUUUUAGUUUUAAUUUAAUUUACGUUUAGUUUAGUUAAGUUAAAGGGUAGGUACGUUCGUUAGUGUAGUNNNNNNNNNNNNNNNNNNNNGAGAGAGAGAGAGAGUGGGGAGUUGAGGUUUUUGUUGUUUUUACUUUUAUCUUUUUUGUUUUUAAUUAAUUCUUUUAGUUGUAUUUAAAGGGAAGGAUGUCCCUUGUUGGAGCUAGGUGAAUUGAGUAAAGAAAUUGUUUUUGGGUCUUGUGAAGAGAUCUUUGGGGUGGACUCCCUUGUAGACUCUGAGAGGGUAUGAUCUUUCAUCUUUUAUUAUUAUUUUAUUUUAUUUAUUUCUUUUCUAUCUUCUCUACAUCUGAUGCAGGGAAAAGAUGGAAGGAAGAUGGGAAAAAAACAAAUAAAACAAAAAAAAGUAAUAAAUCGAUGAGAGAAUAUACUUUCUCUCAGGGUUUACAGGAAAGUCCACCCUAAAGAUUACUUUACAACGCCCAAAUGCAAUUGUUUUUAUUGCAUUAACCAAGUUCCAAAGAGGGGUAUCUUUCUCCUUUAAAUACAACUAACAAAAUUAAUAAAAAAGUAAUAUAAAAGAAAAAACAAUAAAAAUCUUAUCUCCCCACAUUUAUCUCUCUCUCUAUCUUCCACGUUUUUCUCUUUAACCUCAUGUAAGUCUCUCUCAUACUGAAGACAACAAGAUCCCUUUUAAAAAUCUCUCUACACCAACUAAAUUCCAUAAAUAUAGAAACGUUCUUUUAGCUCCCCCAUAUAUCUCUUGUAAUCACCAAUAUGUAUUUUUCUAUCUUAAAAUAAAACGAACUUUCCAACUCUUCUCUUGAGAUCUUUACAACCAUAGAAGAAAAAAAUAACCCUAAGCUUAAAAAAAUCUAAAAAAUAGGCAAAAAAGAAAAGAAAAAAGUAGUCAUUGCAUCAUCUCUUGGGGUCUGGGAUAAGCUUGACCUCGAGCUGGAAGAUUUAAGUUCCUCUAAUAGCUUUUCCAAUAGUUGGUGACACAGUCCAAUCAUUCAUCUGGGCACUUUCCUUCAAUGAAACAAUUGAUUAAAUACUUAGUAUCCAGCUUGUAAUGACUUCGGAAAUACCCAACUUGAUCUUGAUUUCUCUUUUAAUCUCAAAGGGUGGUAUUUCACAUAUCGCAACUACCUUAUCUUUUUCAUAAUUGUCUAAAUCUUUUGCACUGAGAUUUACCUCUUCAUGUUCUUCCUCCUGCUGUUGCAAUCUACAAAAUAAAUCUAGCAGCCAUAUCAGGUCUUCUAUGAUUCUCUCAAAUAUUUGAUCCAAUUGCUCAAAUAUUUAAUCUAUAUACUCCAUAACUGGAUCUGUAGACGUUUGUGAAAGCACCAUGUUUUAUGGAUCUCAAGGCUCUGCUUUAUUGGUCUGAACUACUAGAUCUAAUACCAAUUGAUGGAGGGAAAAUAUAGGGGGAAGAUGGGAAAGAGUACAAAUAAAAUAAAAAUAAUAAUAUACAGUUGGUAUAAUGUACCAUCUCUCAGGGUUUGCACCGGAGUCCACCCCAAAGCUUUCUUCACAAGACCCAAAAACAAUUCCUUUACUCAAUUGAUCAAGUUCCAAAGAGGGACAUCCUUCCCCUUUAACUAAUUAAUUAAAAAAAGGAAAAGUAUACAACAAGAUUAUGUAUUUUUAAUGCAAGGAGGUCACAAUCACUGGUGUCUGUUAGAUUUCAAAUCGGGUGGUUGUAAGUGUUAUUGACUAGAGUCAAAGUUCAAAAAAAAAAUUUCUGAACUUUGUAUCACACCCCAAGCCAUCCAAUUUGACAUCGAAUGACUACUAGCAGUUGUGACCUUCUUGUAAUAAAGACAAACGGUCUCGUAAUGUACAAUCCCUUAAAAAAAAAAAAGAUAUAUGAAAAACCUUUCUGUCUCUCUCUAAUCUGCCACAUUUUUCUCUCUUUAACCUCGUGUAAAUCUGGCUCUUUUUUAAUCAAACAUUAG
rnacentral:lncRNA from 1 species